AUGUCUCCCUCUACCACCCUGAAUGCUCCCGAUCUCGUCUGAUCUCAGAAGCUAAGCAGGGUCGGGCUUGGAUGGGAGACCCU
rnacentral:rRNA from 1 species